AGGUUGGGUGUCAGAGCGUGCGGCUCACCCCCAUUCACUUCCAGCCUUUUUGUCUAAGCCUGAGGUUUUCUUUAAAGUUCAUUCAGACUCAGAGAAACUGCCCACAUCUCAGCUCCAGUGUGCGUUCUAAUAUAUUAUAUGCAUUCUUCAUGACAACCAUGUGAUAGAUAUUAAUAUCCUCAUUGCUAAAGAUGAAGAAACUAAUCUCAGGAAGAAAAACUAAGUGAAGACAAAAGAAGGAUUUGAACUCAGGUUUGUCAGACUUUUGGGCCCAUGCUGUUUAAACCACUAAACCACACUACCUCUGGGUCACUUAAUAAGCAGCAUUCAACCAUUAAGAAAGUCAGUAAUAAAGUUGUGCUCUCCCUGAGAUUACAGACCAUUCAUUUGUUAAGCUGGAAUAUUUGGUUUAUUGUGGUCAUAAUUACAUGUCUACAGGAGAUAAAUUUAUUGAGUUUCUUAA